GCCUGAGUGGCUCAGUCGGUUAAGCGUCUGACUUCGGCUCAGGUCAUGAUCUCACAGUUUGUGGGUUCGAGCCCCGCAUCGGGCU
rnacentral:tRNA from 1 species